UGCGGACAUAUCAUAACGAAGAGGUAUCGUAAUUGAAGAGGUUUGGAAAGACCCACCACAGAAGGUAAUAGUCCUGUAUGUUAAACGAGAAGACUUCAGAUAUGAUCCAGAGUACCACGGGACACGUGAAACCCUGUGGGAAGCAGGAGGGACCACCCUCCAAGGCUAAAUACUACCUAGUGACCGAUAGCGUAUAGUACCGUGAGGGAAAGGUGAAAAGAACCCCGGGAGGGGAGUGAAAUAGAACCUGAAACCCUGCACUUACAAGCUGUGGAAGCACAUUUCUUGUGUGACCGCGUACUUUUUGUAGAACGGGCCAACGAGUUACGUUAAGUAGCAAGGUUAAGCACUUAAGGUGCGGAGCCGUAGCGAAAGCGAGUUUUAACUGAGCGUUCAGUUACUUGACGUAGACCCGAAACCGGGCGACCUACCCAUGAGCAGGAUGAAGCGAAAGUAAAAUUUCGUGGAGGUCCGAACCCACGAGCGUUGAAAAGCUCGGGGAUGACUUGUGGGUAGCGGUGAAAUUCCAAUCGAGCCCGGAGAUAGCUGGUUCUCCCCGAAAUAGCUUUAGGGCUAGCCUCAAGGUGAGAGAUACGGAGGUAGAGCACUGAAUGUCCUAGGGGGUAUUGCACCUACCGAAGACUAUCAAACUCCGAAUGCCGUCAUCUUAUACUUGGGAGUCAGACUGUGGGUGAUAAGAUUCAUAGUCGAAAGGGCAACAGCCCAGAUCGUCAGCUAAGGUCCCUAAAUGUAAGUUAAGUGGUAAAGGAUGUGGGAUUGCACAGACAACCAGGAUGUUGGCUUAGAAGCAGCCACUCAUUCAAAGAGUGCGUAAUAGCUCACUGGUCGAGUGAUCCUGCGCCGAAGAUUUCCGGGGCUAAAACUUACUACCGAAGCUACGGCAUCAGUAAUGAUGGGUAGGGGAGCUUCCCAUACGGGUUGAAGCAUGACCGUAAGGACAUGUGGACAGUAUGGGAGUGAGAAUGUUGGCAUGAGUAGCGAGAUGUGGGUGAGAAUCCCACAGGCCGUAAACCCAAGGUUUCCAGGGGAAGGUUCGUCCGCCCUGGGUUAGUCGGGACCUAAGCUGAGGCCGAAAGGCGUAGGUGAUGGACAACAGGUUGAUAUUCCUGUACUACCGAUAACCGUUUGAGAGAAGGGAUGACACAGUAGGAUAAGCUAAGCACACUGUUGGUUAUGUGUGCCCAAGCAUUGAGGCAGUCAAAGUAGGCAAAUCCGCUUUGAUAAUGCUGGGAUGUGAUGGGGAGCGAAAUUUAGUAGCGAAGUAGCUGAUUUCACACUGUCAAGAAAAGUCUCUAUCGAGGUUAAAGGUACCCGUACCGCAAACCGACACAGGUGGGUGAGGAGAGUAUCCUAAGGCCAGCGAGAGAACUGUUGUUAAGGAACUCGGCAAAAUGACCCCGUAACUUAGGGAUAAGGGGUGCCACCAUCAGGUGGCCGCAGAGAAUAGGCCCAAGCGACUGUUUACCAAAAACAUAGGUUUCUGCUAAGUCGCAAGACGAUGUAUAGGAGCUGACGCCUGCCCGGUGCUGGAAGGUUAAGGGGAUCUGUUAGAGCAAUCGAAGCAGUGAACUUAAGCCCCAGUAAACGGCGGCCGUAACUAUAACGGUCCUAAGGUAGCGAAAUUCCUUGUCGGGUAAGUUCCGACCCGCACGAAAGGCGUAACGAUUUGGGCACUGUCUCAACAACAGACUCGGUGAAAUUGUAAUUCCGGUGAAGAUGCCGGAUACCUGCGACAGGACGGAAAGACCCCAUGGAGCUUUACUGUAGCUUGACAUUGGGUCUUGGUACUACAUGUACAGGAUAGGUGGGAGGCUUUGAAACCAGGACGCCAGUUUUGGCGGAGCCAUCCUUGGGAUACCACCCUUGUAGUACUGGGACUCUAACCAUAGGCCAUGAAUCUGGUCUUGGGACACUGUCAGGUGGGCAGUUUGACUGGGGCGGUCGCCUCCCAAAAGGUAACGGAGGCGCUCAAAGGUUCUCUCAGUACGGUCGGAAAUCGUACGUAGAGUGUAAAGGCAAAAGAGAGCUUGAUUGCAAGACAUACAGGUCGAGCAAGGAUGAAAAUCGGACUUAGUGAUCCGGUGGUUCUGCGUGGAAGGGCCAUCGCUCAACGGAUAAAAGCUACCCUGGGGAUAACAGGCUUAUCUCCCCCAAGAGUCCACAUCGACGGGGAGGUUUGGCACCUCGAUGUCGGCUCAUCACAUCCUGGGGCUGUAGUAGGUCCCAAGGGUUGGGCUGUUCGCCCAUUAAAGUGGUACGCGAGCUGGGUUCAGAACGUCGUGAGACAGUUCGGUCCCUAUCCGUCGCAGGCGUAGGAAAUUUGAGAAGACCUGUCCUUAGUACGAGAGGACCGGGAUGGACGUACCUCUGGUGUACCAGUUGUCCUGCCAAGGGCAUGGCUGGG
rnacentral:rRNA from 1 species